AAGAAGUGAUAUGCCCCAGGGUGAGGGGGCAGAGUGCCGAUGGCUUCAGGGGACAGCGACCAGACCAAGAUCUCCGAAAGACAGGCAGAUGAGGAACACCUAGACUGCACAGACAGGUAUCAGAUCUGCACAAGAGACUGAAGGCUUUCCUGCCUCCUCUCCAUUUUUUACUCUCCUCAAGCCUUCCCCCAGCCUUCAAGGGUAGAGGAAUCUCAUCUUCAAUGCUCCACAGUCAUUGGGGCCAGAGAGAAGAGAACAGAGACUUCUCAGCAAACAAUUCUCAGUGUGGAAAGAAAACUGUGUGCAAACAGCGGACAAUUUGAAAAAGGGCGGGGACAAAGAGCUUACAGAAGGGCAGUAGGGAUGAACAACACAAAGAAAACCA